rnacentral:lncRNA from 1 species
GGGCAACCAGGCUACUGGAUUCCAAGAAAUGGAUAGAGGAAACUCUUCAGAUUAAGAAUCAGGAGAAUUGAAGAUAUUCAGCAAAUUUCUUUGUUGGCAUCUCUAAUGUGAUUAAGAUAUCAGAGUUUUGGGGAACAAAGGUAUAGUGGUUGCUUCUGGCUACGGCACAUGCGCUCCCUCUGCAGGCCCAAAUUAUGAGAGCACCAGUUGGUUAGGCAGCACAGCUGAUUUUCUUGAUGCUCUCAAGCUAGGAUGUCUAUGCUCUUGAUAAUAUUGUCCAUGGUUGUGGCUACUACUCAUGUAAGAGUGUGUGUAUAUGACCUGGGCAUUUCUUUGGAUUUCUUAGUGGUCAAGGCAGUGGUUUGUUCAGACAGAAAUUCCAGCCCAUGCAUGGUCAUCUGUGAGAGUGAGUCCUUUGAGGUUUAUAUCAAGUUUUUGGGAUUCGAUUUGCAAGGUUUCUUUAAGUCCUGGAGGAAAAGGUCAAGUGCAAGGAAGUCCAGCAUCUCAAUAGGGUUUUGGGCAGUCAGGUUUUAGUUCUUGGUGAUUCAGGAGUCAGGCAGGAGAGAGAAAAAUUGGAAAUGUUCGUUUGAAGGGUCGUAGCCAGAUAUUGAAGAAAACGGAAAGAACUGAAAGUUUGUUAAACAACUGACCAAGAAUCUGGGCAAGGUAGCAGGAUCCAGUCUAAUUUGCAGGUAGGAACCCUAACUGGUGUUUCCUGAGGAAGAGAAAGUCAACUAAAUCUCCAUCAGACAAGACAGAGUUUGUAUGAUAUAUAUCAGUUUCCUUCAAUUUAUAAAGUGAUGCACAAUAGUUCAAAGAUAAUGAACAGGACCAGAAUCUGAUAAACCAGAAAUAUGUGCUACAGAUGAUACAGAGUUUUCCACCGAAAUAAAAUUUUUCUUUAUAGUACUGAAAAAUAUUCACUUACCAAUUCUGUGAACAUUUGUUAUAUAGUUUAGACUAUAAUGAAUAUUCAAUUCAGUAUUCUGAUUUAUUUUUUCUCAAUUAGAAAGGAAUUCAUUAGAAGAGGAAAAUGUUAUAUAUUUGUGGAAUGGCACACCACUCUGAAAACAGAAUCUAGUUUUUAAUGCUAAAAAAUUAGGAAAUGAAGUUUAAAAAUCAACGAGCUAUAAACUGAGAAAUACAGAGGAAGGAAAUGAUACUGCAGAAUGUCAAAUAUUUAUGUAGUGGACUCUCACAAGUGAGUUUCACAUAUUUAUUUUUGGAUCCCUCCAGCAGGAACCGACAUCAGCACUGAGAAGCCGUUUAUUGAAGUAUGGGAAUGAGUGUGUUUUGAUCCUAACUGGAGAGUGUUUUGUCUGCCUUAGUGAAAGGAGAAGCUGAAGAACGCAGCAGCCAUCGUGCCUGCUAAUUUUGAUGUUAUGAUUUAAUACCAGGGGCUUUUCAUCAGGAGAACCAGAGGCAGGAGUGCCUGUAAUCUGAGGCAGCCAAUGAAAGUGUUAGAGAAGAAGACAAACAAGGGAAAAGAAGACAUAAACAAGAGACUGACUUUGUGAGGAUCAUCUGCGAUGGGUUGUGGAGAAGGAAUGAAUGAUGCAUAGAAAGAAAUGAUAGUACAUAAAUGGUUCGUUCCUUAGGAAACCGACCCUCAGGCAAGGGACUGAAACUCAUCAGAUCACUGCAUCUGGACAAUGAGAUGCCAGACCCCUCAUCCAUCAUCAUUGCUUUCUUUCCCCUCCUUAAUUCCUGUUUUCCCACCUUCCCUACUAUAUAAAACCCCCAGUUGGAGAGAUGGGUUUGAGACUUUAUCUGUCGUUCUCCUUGGUCACAGCACCCAAUUAAAGCCUUCUUCCCUGGUAAUACUCAUUGUUUCAGUGGUUGGCGUUCUGUGUGGCCAUCAGCAGGGCCUGGACUGAAUCCCUGGCAUUUCGG